rnacentral:rRNA from 1 species
AACGAACGCUGGCGGCAUGCCUAACACAUGCAAGUCGAACGAGACCUUCGGGUCUUGUGGCGCACGGGUGUGUAACGCGUGGGAACCUUCCCUUAGGUUCGGAAUAACUCUCCGACUGGGGUGCUAAUACCGGAUAAUGUCUUAGGCCCAAAGAUUUAUCGCCUUUGGUUGGGCCCGCGUUGGAUUAGCUAGUUGGUAGGGUAAUAGACUACUAAGGCGACGAUCCAUAGCUGGUCUGAGAGGAUGAUCAGCCACACUGGGACUGAGACACGGCCCAGACUCCUACGGGAUGCAGCAGUGGGGAAUAGUGGACAAUGGGCGGAAGCAUGAACCAGCUAUGCCGCGUGAGUGAUGAAGUCCUUAGGGUUGUAAAGCGCUUUUAACCGGGAUGAUAAUGACAGUACCUGAAGAAUAAGCUCCGGCUAACUCCGUG